GGAGUAUUGCACAAUGGGCGCAAGCCUGAUGCAGCAACGCCGCGUGAGCGAUGAAGGUCUUCGGAUCGUAAAGCUCUGUCCUCUGGGAAGAAGAAGUGACGGUACCAGAGGAGGAAGCCCCGGCUAACUACGUGCCAGCAGCCGCGGUAAUACGUAGGGGGCGAGCGUUAUCCGGAAUUAUUGGGCGUAAAGAGUACGUAGGUGGUUGCGUAAGCGGCAGGUGAAAGCCCGGGGCUUAACUCCGGCGAGCCUGUCGAACUGCGCGACUUGAGUGCAGGAGGGGAAAGUGGAAUUCCUAGUGUAGCGGUGAAAUGCGUAGAUAUUAGGAGGAACACCAGUGGCGAAGGCGACUUUCUGGACUGUAACUGACACUGAGGUACGAAAGCGUGGGGAGCAAACA
rnacentral:rRNA from 1 species